CGGCACCGGCUCGGCGGGGCUCGCGGCUCGGGUCGGGCAGCGGCUGCGGGCGCGGCAGGGGGUGGCCGUGUCCCUGGGGCAGUGGCGUCGCCCUGGUACCCGCAGCCGCCCGCGCAGCUUCCUCCUUCUUCGCCUGUUUUCCUGGUCCCCCAUCCUCCUCAGCAUCACCCACUUUGACCCACCUCCCUGUCCCGUGAAUUGUCACGCGCCCUAAACCUCCUUCCCACUUUUCCAGGUUGGUGGUAACUCAGUUUCAAGAGUCAGGUAUUACCUGUCACCAACCCAGUCUCCGGGCAUCCGAGGAAACCUCGGCAGUUUUAAGAGUUUCCUCAGAGUCUAUGAACACCAGAGGAAGCAGCCGGGACCGAUGGCAUCACCCAUGGAGGAUGGGUGUCAAGCCUAACGCGGGCUCUGCAUCUUGAGAAGAAGCUGACUUUUCCUCUCUCUGCUCCUGUACUUUUCCUAGAAGCAUGAGUCCCCAUGAAUAUUCAGCGUGUGUGUUUUUGUCUUCCUGAACAUUAUAGUCAAGUGAUUCUUUAUUCAGCCAACACCGGGACGGUGCCGGUAGGUGAUGAAUGAGCGCCGAAAGUUUUCCUUGACUCGGGGAGUGGACAUCACCCCAGUCAGGUUUCUUCAGCCUUUGCCUUCCGCUUGGGGUGGGAGCCUUAGAGCACGCCCCACCUUCGGUUUGCCUGUCGAUCACGCGUGGCAGAUUUAUUGUGACAUUAUCCCCAGCCAGCUGACGGGUGAAGGCACUGGACCUUAGAGAGUGGGCGUGCCCUGCAGAGGCAGGUGUGUACACCUGGUCCAGCCUAUGUCUAGUUUGGGUAUAUAACUUCUCUACGGUAGACUUCCAA